ACGAGACACGUGAAACCUUGUGGGAAGCAGGGAGGACCACCUCCCAAGGCUAAAUACUACCUGAUGACCGAUAGUGAAGCAGUACCGUGAGGGAAAGGUGAAAAGAACCCCGGGAGGGGAGUGAAAUAGAACCUGAAACCGUGUGCCUACAACCGCUCAGAGCCCCUUAUGAGGGUGAUGAGGUGCUUUUUGUAGAACGAGCCAACGAGUUACGGUAUGUAGCAAGGUUAAGUACUUAAGGUACGGAGCCGAAGGGAAACCGAGUCUGAAUAGGGCGACUAGUUGCAUGCCGUAGACCCGAAACCGGGUGACCUAUCCAUGGCCAGGUUGAAGCGAGGGUAAAACCUCGUGGAGGACCGAACCACGUUGCUGUUGAAAAAGCAUGGGAUGAGCUGUGGAUAGCGGAGAAAUUCCAAUCGAACCCGGAGAUAGCUGGUUCUCUCCGAAAUAGCUUUAGGGCUAGCGUCGAGUAUGAGUAGUGGAGGUAGAGCACUGAAUGGGCUAGGGGGCAUAGCGCUUACCGAACCUUAUCAAACUCCGAAUGCCACAUACUUUGAGCUCGGCAGUCAGACUACGAAUGAUAAGAUCCGUGGUCAAAAGGGAAACAGCCCAGAUCGUCAGCUAAGGUCCCAAAGUGUAAGUUAAGUGGGAAAGGAUGUGAGAUUUCUAAGACAACUAGGAUGUUGGCUUAGAAGCAGCCAUUCAUUAAAAGAGUGCGUAAUAGCUCACUAGUCGAGAGAUCUUGCGCCGAAAAUGUAACGGGGC
rnacentral:rRNA from 1 species